rnacentral:rRNA from 1 species
UACGAAGGGUGCAAACGUUGCUCGGAAUUAUUGGGCGUAAAGCGCACGUAGGCGGUAUUGCAAGUCGGGCGUGAAAUCCCACGGCUCAACCGUGGAAGUGCACUCGAAACUGCGCAGCUAGAGUCUCGGAGAGGAAGGCGGAAUGCUUGGUGUAGAGGUGAAAUUCGUAGAUAUCAAGCGGAACACCGGUGGCGAAGGCGGCCUUCUGGACGAUGACUGACGCUGAAGCGCGAAAGCGUGGGGAGCAAACAGG